CCAUUAUCCUUGCUUGUUAGAUCACUUUUGUUUCUCCUUCUUUAUUUUGAGAUAGAGGAAGGGAGUCUUGUUGUAGGAAAAGACAAGGAACCUAGAAAUCUAGUUUUUAUUUUUUUACUUAUAAAAUUUUUGAAAGGCUGGAUAUCUUAAAAAAUAAUACUACUCAAGACCGAGUUUUGGUCAUCAGUCAGUUUUGGAAUCUUGAAAAACCAAAAGAC
rnacentral:lncRNA from 1 species